AUUGAACGCUGGCGGCAGGCCUAACACAUGCAAGUCGAACGAGUGGCGGACGGGUGAGUAAUGUCUGGGAAACUGCCCGAUGGAGGGGGAUAACUACUGGAAACGGUAGCUAAUACCGCAUACCAUCGGAUGUGCCCCGAUGGGAUUGGCUAGUAGGUGGGGUAAUGGCUCACCUAGGCGACGAUCCCUAGCUGGUCUGAGAGGAUGACCAGCCACACUGGGACUUAGACACGGUCCAGACUCCUACGGGAGGCAGCAGUGGGUAAUAUUGCACAAUGGGCGCAAGCCUGGUGCAGCCAAGCCGCGUGUAUGAAGAAGGCCUUCGGGUUGUAAAGUAAUUUCAGCGAGGAGGCGUUACUCACAGAAGAAGCACCGGCAAACUCCGUGCCAGCCGACGCGGUAAGAC
rnacentral:rRNA from 1 species